UAAAGAGGGGAGUGAGGCAGACGAGGUAUAACCUAAAAAGGAAGUACUUCGACGAGUCACUGACAAAAGAACAGUUGUUGGCCAUGCAACCUCCACCUAAAAUGAAGAAAGAGGAUUGGACUGGGCUGGUAGAGUAUUGGUGUGACCCAAAGAAUCAGGAAAAAUCUGCUAAGAACAAAGCAAACUGAGGCAACAUGCAGCUUCACCAAAGGACUGGAGCUAGGUCCUAUAUAGCCCAUCGUUACAGCCUGAGGACUAAGUACAACAACAUGGAGCCGGAUGCUGUUGAUUUCUUUGGGGAAUGUAUGAAUAGUCCCCGAAAUGGUCGUACUCCGCUUGCAAAUGAGAUAUAUGAGCAAAUGGUUGCAGAGAAGGAUAGAGAGCUAGAAGAAGGAGAAGCACAAAAGUCACCCUCCA